rnacentral:lncRNA from 1 species
AUGAUGGAUCUAACACAUAGACAAUGCUCAAUACAUCUUACAUUCCUCCUUUCCUCACUUUAUUCCCUAUCCUAUGUGUCAGCAUUGCUGACUUGCAUGAAACACCUUGCAUCUCUUCUGGGAUUCCAUUCAUAUAUUUCCUCUAAAAGUAACUCUCUUUUUUCUGUUGGAAAACUCUUUCUCGUUCUUGAAGCUGAAGCUGAAGGUCAUGUCUUUUGUAAAGCACCCCUUCAUACCCAGGACAAAGACAACUCCAGGAAGGACAUUGGUAGACUCAACGUCCAGGGAACCUAUGAAUCUUCUAUCCCAAUCCUUCUGCCCCCAAACACUUCACCCUGAAAUACAGCCCAGAGCAUGCACUCAGUGAGUCCCACUGAAGAAGAGACGGAAGGCAGAACUGAACAAGAUGUGUCCAGAAGAGGUAGCCGUAGAUCAUGGACAUGACCAAAAGAAGCUUACUUUAUUUUCAAGUAAGUUCCCAAGCCAUUAUGUCUUAGCCUGAUUUUCUUGUGGGUGCACGUAAUGCUGAUGAUGUGAAGUUUAACCAUUAAAUGAUCCAUUAUAAUAGAUUAAAUUUAAAUGACCAUUAAAAUGCCAUGCAGUUUUAAAAUAAAAUCAUUAAUAUUUAUACCUAAUGUUGGCCAGAAAAAAAUACUAAGUGAGAAAUAAUAAUGUAAGCUAACAAUUUAGGGGAGUUUACUAUGUGUCCAGCACUAUUCUAGGUGUUAUUAUCACAAUCCAAUGGGGAGGUAUAGUUAUUUCUCCAUUUACAAUAAGGGAACUGAGGUAGAGAGAGGAGUCAAGUAAGUUUCCAGAGCUCAUGGAGCGAGUAGGUAGUGGAGGUGGGUUUCAAGUAUCAGCAGUUUAGCUCCCGAGUCUGCCAUCUUAAAUCCAUGCAGCCUCUUCAAAAAUUAAUAAAAAGCAUUUCUUUUUGAGAUGGAGUCUCGCUCUGUCACCCAGGCUGCGGUGCAAUGGCGUGAUCUCGGUUCACUACAACCUCCGCCCCCCGGGUUCAAGUGAAUGGCCUGCCUCAGCCUCCUGAGUAGCUAAAUUUUGAUAUAGUAGUAUAAAUGCAAUGCUAUCAAAUUAAUUUCUUAUUUAUGCAUAACUGCCUAGAAGCAUAUCAUGAUGUAGGUACCAAAUAAGCUACUGCAUUUGUAAUUUUAUUGAAUAACAAAAUCCAUAUUUCAAUAACCAGUGUUCAUGAUUCGAAGUUGAUGCUACACACUUUCUUAGCUCAGCCAGCCUUCAUGUUUCACAUUUUAUAAUUACUAAAAUUAAUGAAUAAAAAUCAUUGGUUAAUGGUUUCUUAAAAAUAAAACUUAAAACUCUGGCAUUUCUGAUUCCAGAUGUUUUCUUUCUUCAUGGUCACAAAACCAUGCCCUAGGACAUGCUUAAUAUAUUGUUCAGCUUCUGGACAGGGGUGAAGAUCUUUCCCCUAAGUAUUGAAAAACUUGUAACUUUAAAUGACUGUGCAGGGGUACAGAAUUAUGCCUGAGGGAUUCCAUAUAGUUUUAAGGAAGACUACUGAGGUAGCCUUAAAAAUAAUAGCUAAAUUAUAUUUAGUGUUUCUUAUGUACCAGGGACUGUUCUAAAUUAUCUUUAAAUUCUCUAAAAAUUCUAAGAAAUAGGUACCAGUGUUAUCCCCAUUUUACAGAUGGGGAAAUUGAGGCAAGGAGAAGUAAUUUGCCCAAUGUCGUACAAGAAUGGCAAAGUCAGGAAAAGCAUUGGAACACAGUCUUUGCUCCAACCACUGUGUGUGCUGCUUCACUAUGCUGCAUGACAAACUUUUUGUAGUCAGAAAAACUUUUUACUCCAAGACAUUUCAUUAGUUAAACAAAUGGCCAAAGUUAGAUCUCAGAAUCUGGGAGUCUUUAUUCUCUGGAGUAACUUUCAGCAUCCCAGUAUCAUCCAUUGGCAAGCAACCAGCAUUUUACACAAUCUUCCAGGAGACUCUGAAUAUUAAAACAUGAAGCUUUGCAUUUGGUAAAAUUUUAAAUGUCUAAUUUCUCCCUCUCUUGGAGUGAAUCACAGGUUGAUAGACUACUGAUAUUCCGAGGUAUUUUUUCAUCAAUUUUAUUGCAAUUAAGGAGUCCAUGGUAAAGUGUUCAGAUUCAGAAAAUGUCUUUAAAUCAAAUAUCAUUCGUAUGGGAAAUAUUCGUAGGCACACAUCUUUAAUUUUGAUAAAAAGAUGUAGGCUUCAGUGGGGUGCAGUGGGAAUGAACCAGGGUAAUCCAUAAAGACUCCAUGCUUGAUACCCUAAAAGUAGCCAUCCUUUCAGUGAGGAGAAGCAACUCCCCCUAACUUCUUACUUUAUUCUCCCUCUCAACUUCAUCUGGCUGUUAAUCUCACCCUACUCCUGGUCUUUAAUCUUGUUCUAGCAUGGGAGUGGAAAAAGUAAUCUUUGUUAGUACAAAGUCCCAAAACCCCACAACAACAGGAGUUCUGUGGACAAUGUGAGGAACUGGGAAUUCUUGGAAAGAUGGGAAAAAAGUAGGACGUUUUUAGGAUGAAUAAGAUGCAACCAUUUACAUGGUUUCAAGUUAGUGGAUGAGGAGACAAAAAUUUUUUUAAGCUAAAAAAGCAGAUUAGUUAAAAAUGGAUGUAAAAAGAAAAAAUGAACAGAACGAUCAUGAGAAAAAAAGAGGAGAAAUAUUGCAGGAGGACGAUUCAAUAUAAAAACUAUGGAAAACUGAGAGAAGAGGAUUAAAGUACAACACAAAAGAUUCAAAAGAGGAAAGAUUUUCAGUCAUAGGCAUCUAAUGUUUCAAAGUUGAUUUCUGCAUGUGCAGGAGAGCUAGAUGACUGAGGACUGUACGGUAUGUAAGACACCCUCUGUUACAAAGAUUCUCAUCCUCUUAAGUUGGCCACAGAAACAUAAUUAAUGGGCUUGCUGCACCUCUGAGACACAUUUUGUCUCAUUCAUAUUUGCGCAAAAGCUAGAAAAAAUAUAUUGGCAAGGACUUCUUAGAGCUUCGUGCUUACUGUGUGUUUGUGCAGGUUAAGAAGGCUGUCUCUGGGGUCUCGCACAGAAACCUGGGUGAAAGCAGCUACUGGGAAUUUGGCCAAGAGCAAGGUUCAUAAGGUUCCAGUGUAGGACAUGGGAUCUAUGCUAUUCUACUUGAUUAGUGCAAUCAAGGAGGUUACCAAGAAAGUUUGCAUUUAUAGAUCUCUGUUGGUGUCAUUUGACACUAUUUUAUUGGGGUUCUUAUUUGAGUGUUUUUAUCUGUGAUGAGGUAUAAAGUAUGUAUUUCAUAUAUGAAUUUUCAUCUAGGUAAGUUCAUCCUUAUAUAAGCAAAGCCAGCUAACCCAGAACAUUUUUCUUGUCCUUGGCUAGUUUAUGAUACUAUUUGUGUUAGUUAUCUCAUUCUAACUAUAGACUGGGUGGGUUAAACAACAGAAAUGAAUUUCUUCACAGUUGUGGUGGCUGGAAGUCUGAGAUCAGGGUGCCAGCAUGGUCAAGGGCUGGUAAGGACUCUCUUCCUGGCUUAUGGAUGACUGCCAUCUCUCUCUGGUGUCUCUUCUUUUAAAAGCAUUAAUUCCAUCAUGAGGGCCCCCUUAUGACCGCAGCUAAACCUAAUUACUUCCCAAAGGCUCCAUCUCCAAAAGCCAUCAUAGUGGCAGUUAGGGCUUCACCAUGUGAAUUUGGAGGAACACAAUUUCAGUCCAUAGCUCUACUCUUAGGAGUGUCAUCUCCCUCCCUGCCCUAUCAUGUCCAUAAAACUUACUGAAUGAAGGUGCGGUAGUUAUUCACUAUUAUAUUAUUCGGAAUGGUAGGACUACAGACAGACUCGAGGACAAUGUUUUCUUUGAACCAAGAAAUAUUUAUAGAGUCAAAAAGUGCAAGCUCUGCCCUUGAAGAGUGAGUUCUGCCAUGUCAGCAAGAGUCCAAGCAGUAUUUGCCUUCCAAUGUAUCUCAAAACAUUUUUUUUCUUUUUAUUCUGUGCUAGCAACAAUGGUUUACACAGAACUUUGUAUUUUGUUGCAUUUUAUUUGGAGCAUUACAAUGCAACAUCAUUGAUAAAUCUCUGAGGAUAGUUGACCUUUGAGGUCAUUGAUGGGAAUAUUCUAUGAGUCAAUAAAUUAAUAGAAUACCAGGCCGGGCAUGGUGGCUCACGCUUGUAAUCCUAGCACUUAGGGAGGCUAAGGCGGGAAGAUCACAAGGUCAGGAGAUUGAGACCAUCCUGGCCAAAAUGGUGAAACCCCGUCUCUACUAAAAAUACAAAAAAAUUAGCUGGGCACGGUGGCACACGCCUGUAGUCCCAGCUACUCAGGAGACUGAGGUAGGAGAAUCGCUUGAACUCGGGAGGCGGAGCUUGCAGUGAGCCAAGAUUGCACUACUGCACUUCAGCUUGGUAACAGAGCAAGACUCCAUCUCAAAAAAAAAAAAAAAAAAUUAAUAGAAUAUCUGUUAUAAUGAGCUUGGUAUUAUGAAGUAUGUUUUCCUCAAUACUAUUACUGCAAUUACUCAAUAGUUCUAAUUUUGCUAUUGUACACUAGAGCAGUCUUAUUCACUAAACUGCUUUUUGAAACUUUUUACCAUAUUAUAGGCA